rnacentral:rRNA from 1 species
CGUAGGGUGCGAGCGUUGUCCGGAAUUAUUGGGCGUAAAGAGCUUGUAGGCGGUUUGUCGCGUCUGCUGUGAAAAUCCGGGGCUCAACCCCGGACUUGCAGUGGGUACGGGCAGACUAGAGUGUGGUAGGGGAGACUGGAAUUCCUGGUGUAGCGGUGAAAUGCGCAGAUAUCAGGAGGAACACCGAUGGCGAAGGCAGGUCUCUGGGCCACUACUGACGCUGAGAAGCGAAAGCGUGGGGAGCGAACAGGAUUAGAUACCCUGGUAGUCCACGCCGUAAACGUUGGGAACUAGGUGUGGGCCUCAUUCCACGAGGUCUGUGCCGCAGCUAACGCAUUAAGUUCCCCGCCUGGGGAGUACGGCCGCAAGGCUA